GAACGCUGGCGGCGUGCCUAAUACAUGCAAGUCGAGCGAACAGACGAGGAGCUUGCUCCUCUGACGUUAGCGGCGGACGGGUGAGUAACACGUGGAUAACCUACCUAUAAGACUGGGAUAACUUCGUGAAACCGGAGCUAAUACCGGAUAAUAUAUUGAACCGCAUGGUUCAAUAGUGAAAGACGGUUUUGCUGUCACUUAUAGAUGGAUCCGCGCCGCAUUAGCUAGUUGGUAAGGUAACGGCUUACCAAGGCAACGAUGCGUAGCCGACCUGAGAGGGUGAUCGGCCACACUGGAACUGAGACACGGUCCAGACUCCUACGGGAGGCAGCAGUAGGGAAUCUUCCGCAAUGGGCGAAAGCUUGACGGAGCAACGCCGCGUGAGUGAUGAAGGUCUUCGGAUCGUAAAACUCUGUUAUUAGGGAAGAACAAAUGUGUAAGUAACUAUGCACGUCUUGACGGUACCUAAUCAGAAAGCCACGGCUAACUACGUG
rnacentral:rRNA from 1 species